CCACCGAAUUAAAAUUGUUUUUGAGAGGGAAUUUUGAAUAGUUUAUUUUGAAAUGAACCAAUCCGAUAUUCAAAGCAAGAUUGUACCAUAAAUAGUUUAGUCAUUCCUAUUCCAGAGCGAAAUAGAAAUUAGAAUUCGAUUUUCGUAAAAUCAAUAAAUCUCGUUCUGAUUCCAUAUUAUAAAAUAGGUGAACCAAAUAUAUCCUUAGUAUUCUCAAGAAAAAGGAAAAGAAAAAAAAAGUCAACCAAAUGCUCAAAU
rnacentral:lncRNA from 1 species